rnacentral:rRNA from 1 species
GACUGAGACACGGCCCAGACUCCUACGGGAGGCAGCAGUGGGGAAUUUUGGACAAUGGGCGAAAGCCUGAUCCAGCAAUGCCGCGUGUGUGAAGAAGGCCUUCGGGUUGUAAAGCACUUUUGUCCGGAAAGAAAACGUUCUCAUUAAUACUGGGGGCGGAUGACGGUACCGGAAGAAUAAGCACCGGCUAACUACGUGCCAGCAGCCGCGGUAAUACGUAGGGCGCAAGCGUUGUCCGGAAUUAUUGGGCGUAAAGAGCUCGUAGGUGGCUGGUCACGUCUGCCGUGAAAGCCCGCAGCUUAACUGCGGGUCUGCGGUGGAUACGGGUCGGCUAGAGGUAGGUAGGGGCAAGUGGAAUUCCUGGUGUAGCGGUGAAAUGCGCAGAUAUCAGGAGGAACACCGGUGGCGAAGGCGGCUUGCUGGGCCUUACCUGACGCUGAGGAGCGAAAGCGUGGGGAGCGAACAGGAUUAGAUACCCUGGUAGUCCACGCUGUAAACGUUGGGCGCUAGGUGUGGGGAUCUUCCACGAUCUCCGUGCCGGAGCUAACGCAUUAAGCGCCCCGCCUGGGGAGUACGGCCGCAAGGCUAAAACUCAAAGGAAUUGACGGGGGCCCGCACAAGCGGCGGAGCAUGUUGCUUAAUUCGACGCAACGCGAAGAACCUUACCAAGGUUUGACAUCACCCGGAAACGCUCAGAGAUGGGCGCCUCUUCGGACUGGGUGACAGGUGGUGCAUGGCUGUCGUCAGCUCGUGUCGUGAGAUGUUGGGUUAAGUCCCGCAACGAGCCAACCCUUGUUCCAUGUUGCCAGCACGCUCCUUCGGGGGUGGUGGGGACUCAUGGGAGACUGCCGGGGUCAACUCGGAGGAAGGUGGGGAUGACGUCAAGUCAUCAUGCCCCUUAUGUCUUGGGCUGCAAACAUGCUACAAUGGCCGGUACAGAGGGCUGCUAAACCGUGAGGUGGAGCGAAUCCCUAAAAGCCGGUCUCAGUUCGGAUUGGGGUCCGCAACUCGACCCCAUGAAGUCGGAGUCGCUAGUAAUCGCAGAUCAGCAACGCUGCGGUGAAUACGUUCCCGGGCCUUGUACACACCGCCCGUCACGUCACGAAAGUCGGCAACACCCGAAGCCCGUGGCCCAACCACCUUGUGUGGGGGGAGCGGUCGAAGGUGGGGCUGGCGAUUGGGACGAAGUCGUAACAAGGUA